UUAGAAAAUCGAGAAUUUAUUAUGUUACAGAGGAGAUUCAGUCAUCUGGCGAUACUAAAUACCGAAUGUACUCAUGUCCAAGAACGACAAAAGAAAACGUAACUUUGGUUCAUUUACGGAGCAGGAUCUCUGUUACAAUCUCAACAAAAAUAUUUAGUUUUGAUUUAAAAAACUCCAGCAGAAUUAGUCAGACUUUUGAAUUAGUUUGGACUAUCACAGACUUUCUAAAAUACGUUAAGUUAUUCCUUGCAUAAUUAGUACGCU